UGCUUUUUAGUAUUUCAGAAAGUUUUACUUUACAUUCUAAAAUCAAGUCAGUCCUUUGACUUUCGUUGCUUAAUAUUUAACUCUCUCUGUCUUGCAAAAGGGUAUGUGUAAAUGGGCUAGCUUGUUCAAUAAAUUGUUCGUUCCAAAAUAGAUAGACUUUAAAUUUGCAUCAUUUCUUAACUGAAGUGGGACAUGCUGAACAGUGUGACUGUCCUAUUCCGAUUCUAAAUAAUGAUGUGGCGCUCAACUUUCUUGUUAACUAUCAAGAAAUGUUCAAGAUCUUCCAUUUUACCAUCUGUUACAACUUCAUUGCAAAAGGUGUGAAAGAAGAGGGAAAUGAAAUUGGUAAAUAUUUUGAAGCCAGACUGAAAUAUUUGGCCAAGUUUCUAGAACAGUGGAACUAUUUUAAUCAAAGAAAAUCUUACUUAUGUGGCCAAAAAAGAAAAUAACACGAAUUGUACUCUUUGAAGUAGAGUUGAUAAACUUGGAAGGUGGAUCUCCCUCCCUCUCUCCGCAAUUCCCUGCUUUGGAAAGCACUGCCCUCUCCAGAAACCAUUGGAUCUGAAGAGUAUGUAUUGGAAAACCUCCCCUGAAGACCACAUGACAAACAACCAGAAGGUUUACACUACAGAAGACUGGAAAAUCAGAUCUGUGCGGGGAGACAAUGAAGACUAUGAAAACAAUUAGAAAAUGAGAAAAUGUUUGCAAAAAAAAGUCAUAAGGAAAGAAAUUGAAAAAGAUUUGAAAGCACGGUAUUUUGUUUCUGUUAGUUUGUUAGCCAAGCAAAAUUACACACAUGACACAGGCUUCUUUCAACUUGAUGUGCCGAAUGGACGUGGUUAUGUCAUUAAACAAUGCAACAAAAGGGAAAGAAACGUCGUGUUUUGCAGAUGAAGAAGAAAAAUAUUUGUUGGCUGGAGACGCUUGCAGAGUGUCUCCGGCAGAGAUGCGCCAUUGGCGUUUGAAAACAUGAGCACUCUGACUUGCUUUCUAUAAUGAAAAAUUUACUUACAUAACUUUAUGCUUUUUGAUCACUGUUCCAAUAAGGAAUCGUGUCCUUGGAGGCAUCUAAUAAUCAAAGAAUUACCUCAUUCACACGAUAGAACAAUCACUGGAAAAUAUAAUGGCUAAUUGGGAUUCUUGAAAUUAAACGUGGUGGUGGUAUUACUUGUGAAAGGAGACUAAAUGGUUCAUGAUUUUAAUUUUAAUCCUAAAGAAUGACUUUCUAAUAGUCAUAAAUGCCUUUCUUUCAAAGAGGUGAUAGACUUCCUGAAAAUGUUCAGUCUUAAUAAGGAUGCCUAUUUGGCAUGCAUGCUUGUCAAGGCAUUCAAGUAUCUGUGAAGUGGUUGACCCCCAAUUUGUAAGUUAUUUUGCAGUUUUCCAUAUCUGUCAGUCUAUGACCCCCCUUUGACUUUUAAGCUGAAAUGUCGAUAUAUCAGAAAAACGGUAACUAUCCGGUUGCUAACUUUCUGUGGUCUCAACUUGAACUUUUCCCCACUGUCUCAGCUUACCCAUGCACCACCCACCACAGGACAAGUAUGCAAGUAAAUAGCCUACAAAGGAGAUGUAAUUUUCUAGUGCUGCAUUUCAUUUGUCUUCAGGUGACAUUGCAGUUCACCUCAUGGUCUAAGCUACAAACACGAGACUUAUCUCUAUUUCCCUCCAACCAUCUGACCUACCACAUUUCCUGAAGAUCUCCAGUGUCCACCCCUACCUAUCGCUUGUGAUUGACUUCCUUUUUCAGAUAAAAUUUAAGAUCCUCAGCAUGGAAAACAAAGUUGUUUGUAACCUGAUCCUGGUUAAUUGGUAGAGCAUCAUCUUUCACCACUUUUCCUAUUAUAUGUUAUUUUCUAGCAAAAAGGACUUUCAGCUCCACAGACACACACACUGAGAACAAACAUAUCUGUGUCUUAAAGGCCUCGGUUCUUUUUCUAUAUAGAAAAUAUUUAUUCUACUUUCAACCCUUGAUCAAAUCUUAACCAUUUUUCUCUAAUGACCUUUUUAUCCCAGUUCAAUACCUAAUAAAUCAUUACAUUGUCACAAAUAUAUAGUAAGUAUCUGUUGACCUUCAAAUAAUGCUACCUCUGAAGCAUCAUUGUAGAAAUAAAAUAUGAUGUACAUGUGUAAUUUUAAAUUUUCUAGGACUUAUGUUAAUAAAAAGCAAAAAAAGGAGGAGGUGAACCUAAUUUUAAUGACGUAUUUUAUUAAUUUUAAAUCUUAUUUCAAAAUAUAAUCAAUAUAAAAUUAUAAAUGAGACCUUUAAAAAUUUUAAUAUGGUCUUUAAAAUCUGGUGUGUAUUUUACAUUUACAGCACAUCUCGAUUUGUUCUAGCUAAAUUUAAGUACUCAAUAGCCUUAAUUAAGUACUCAAUAACAUGUGGCUAGUGGCUUUUAUAUCCACAAAGCAGCAACAGUAAUUGGUCAACCUUGGUUCACCGGUCAAAUCCAGUCCAAUAUCUGUGUGACUUGGGAGCAAAGAUAGAUUCUCACAUUUUUAAAUUGUUGAAAAAGAUGAGAAAAAGAAUAUUUAUUGACACCUGAAAAUGAUAUGAAAUUCAAAUUUCAGACUCCUUAAUAAAGAUUUAUUAGAGCAUAGCCAUGCUCAUUUACUUAUAGAUUUUCUGUGGCAAAUUUCAUGCUAAAAAUGACAGAGUCAAUUACUUUUGAGUGGCUAUAUGACCCCAAAAGCUUAAAAUAUUUACCAUCUGGACCUUUACAGAAAAAGUUUGCUGACUUCUGCUUUAGAGGGUUCACUCUGCUAGGACCACGAUCACAUGCUAGUUGUCUUUGUUUGCACUCAACACAGGGCUGACACACAAAAGAGACUUAAUAAUUUCAGAAUAAAAUAUAUUUUAUAAAUCCAAUGAAAUGAACAUUUGUUGAACAACUACAGUCCUAAAGCACAUCCUCUCUACCUAUAAAUCAUACCUUAAAAUUUUUCCAGUUCAAAAUAUGAUACCACCAGAACAGAGAAAUGAUAAAGCAGUCAAAAGCAGAAUUCUCAAUUCAGAUCUGAGUCCAAGCUCCAGUUUUGCCCCAUCUAUAAUCUGGAGUAAUUUAUUUACCUUCUGUAAUCCUUUCAUUCAGUAUCUGUAAAAUAGGGAAAAUAAUGCUGACCUCACAGGUUUGCAACAAUUAAGUGGAUGAUGCAUAUAAUAACAGUAUAGUGACUGAACAUGCUAAGUUUUCAAUAAAUGUUAGUUAUUUUUGUACAUAUAUCUGAAGUGUCCUAUUCUAAUUGACUCCUUUCAAUAGCCUUUAGUCACUGCUUUUGAAGAAAGUGAUACCUUAAUUAAUUUGUUUUUCAAAACUGUAAGUAUUCAUUUAGGAAAGUCUCACCACAACUAUAAAAAUAUUUUGGACACUAAAACAUAUCGUUAGACUUUUGGAGCUAGAUGAGUCCUUUAAAUGUAUACACACACAUACUCUGUUUAAAUGGAAAUGAAGAAUAUCUUCAAAGGGAAAAGGGGGGAUUUCUGUAUAAAGAACAUGAAAGAAAUAUUACUUAGAAAGCUUUAACCAUUUUAGAAUCAGAAACACACAUGUUUUAGCAAUAUACUAUAUAGCUUUACCCUAGACCCGUAAAACAUUUAAGUCACGGUGUAAACAUUAAUAAGUGAUGGUAAAUUGUUACAAAAUAUCGUUCUAUUUAAUAUUUUAAAAUUAUUCAAAUCACAUAGUUCCAUUUAUUUCCCUUGUUGAAAUGUUCACGUAGCUGAAAAUAACUCUUUGGACAGUUAUGUUUAAUUUAGGUUUUAUGGCUCCUUGGAGUGAAGAGAGGAAGAGAGCUGUAAUUUUCUGGACGUAGAGAAUCAUUUGCUAUGGUAAACUGGAUAAAUGCUUGGGUUGCCUCAUGGGAGUAGCAUACAGAAGAGUAGCUGGUUCUAUUCUGCUGAGAUGCCAGGGUCUCCCUAUUCUUUCCAAAUCAGUGGCCUUAGAGGGAUCAUGAAUUGCUGAGGUAGAACGAUCCUUACUCCUCUUUAUCUCUCAUCUACUGCCUUUGAAAUCAACUGGAGACGCAUACUUGGAAGCAGCACAAAGGGUAAGGCUGGAAAUAAAAAUAUGGCCUAGGAUUUGUGAUGCUCAAGUGACUCUGAUCCAUUUCUCCAAUAGCGGUAGGACUGAAAUAAGCGAGACUUAUCACUGAUACAUCGCUGUUCAUAGUGUUCUAAUUCAUUUUACAGAAGUAAUCCUAUUCCAGCUCUACCAUGACUCUUUUCAAUAGAACGUGUGCUUUGGUUUCAUUUGAAAUAAUUCUUCAUUAAGUUCAUAAUACCCGAUGUUAUCAAAUUAUGCAGAUACAGAAAGUGCCAGGCCUUCUUUGUGAGCAAAAUUAAAAUGGUUAAAAACACCUAUGAUAUGUAAUGCUCACGUGUCACGUAAAAUACACUCCCAACAUGCCAAAAUUUUCUCUUCCUUCAUUUAAGCAGUUUCUGAAAUUCUACACCUGUCUUUCUGACUAAAUAAAUAUGGGGAUAAACAAAACCAUUUGCUUCCUUAUUCUGCAUACAACAAAAUACACUUAUUCUUUCUUAUGUGUAGGAUUGAUAUUUUAAAGCUAAUGCUCUGCUUAGCACCUGUUCAAUUUUAUGGAUGCCCUGCACAUCUAAGGUACUGUAAACCUUAUAGAAAUCAUGCCCUGUGUCUACCUAAUUGGCUUAAUAUCAGUAUAUAUUAUUUUGUUUUGUAUUUAGAGGCUCUUCAUCAUCAAUUAUGAGGAUUUUGAUUUUACUCUUUCACCUAAAAUUAAAAAUAAAAAAGAAACUAAAAUGUGUUGCAUGCAUUAGAACCAUACAUAAGGGAGCGAGAGAAUAAUUAUCACUGUAUAAUAUUUUACAAUGGAACGUUUCAGAUUGUUACUGAAAUUAAAGUGUUGAUUUUACUUUUUUCUUUUUAAUUUGUAACACUAUGUUCCACUUUUAUAAAUUUACUUUAUGCAUCAAAAAUAGAUGGAAUUGUUUGAAAUAUUUAUUACCAUGAAUUGGUCACAAACAACACUAUGAAAUAAUUAUAUUGCCCUUAGCUUCCUUGGAUUUAGUGAUUUUUCUCCUACAAAAAAAAAAAAAAAAAACAAUAUUCACAUGGUUUUAAAUGAGAGAAACCAGCCAUUUACUGAAGAGAGAAAUAAGAUAAAGGGUCCAAAAUUUAACUUCAUGUUACUGACAAACACAUAAUUGGUAUUAUAUUUUUGUCAAUAAUUUUAGUUAAAAAAAUAUUCUGUAGUUUAUUUUAAAACUGUUACCGUGUAAAUAAUAUUUUAUUUAAGUGUAUAAUUAUACAUCAGUUUCAAUUCAAAAUAACAUAAUCUUUUGGAUUCUUUAGAGUCUAGUUACACACUGAGUAAGCAGUCUCUUGUUUAAGUCAAACUUCUAUCACUAAUCAUGGAGGAACAAAGAUGUGUCCAAAUUUUGAAGGAACAUGGGUGUCCCAAAGCUCAGAUAAUGAAUUUUAGCUCUCUCUGGAGAAAAGCCUUUCCUGUAUGUAGCCUGGCAAUAUUCCAAGAUUUCUUUUUAAAAGUAACUCCAUAUGUGUACUGAAAAUAAGCUAGUGAUGUUUUAAAUCAACUGGAAAGAGAGGCUGUUCUUUUCAAUAUUUUUUUCCUGAGCAUAACUUUGAAGUGCAGCAUUUGGGGAUUAUGAAGGUUUGGGUUACCUGCUGAAUGAAGGCAUGGAAAAUUAUUUGAAAGUACCCUUUUUUUGAAAGUGUACUUUAAACUUAUGAAAUAUCACCUGUGGUUAAGAGAAGGUAUGCAAUUCAAAGCAUUUUUUUAAAACCUAAAGACAAAGAGUUAAUUUUAAAUUGUGAUUAUAUUUCCCAAGUUUUCUAUGGCUACAAGAUCAUAAUCAAAAGUUUGCGGUUCAUUUCUUUUUAAAGGCAAGGGAUGAUGGGGACGAGUAAGUGCUAUUGACUUAAAGAAAAUAUCGGUACAUUUAUAAUGAGUUGGGUACUGUGCGCAAAACUGAACCAAAGACUACAGCUUACUAUGCUCUAAUGAUUGUCUCACAGCAGGUAUUUUAAGUGAUUUCAUUUCCAAAUAAAUUCAACUUGCAUCUAUUUCUUGGUAAUGUGUUCUGAAUUUACUUGAUGCAUCCAAUACUACUUCAAAAUAUUCAAGUAACAUUUUUAGCAAGGGAAAAGUACUGUUUGGCCAAAUUUGCAUCAUGUAAAUAUGAAGGAAAAUGUAUGUGAGUAAGCAUUCUUUUUCAGAAUGCAAAGGAACUGUACUAAUAUGUCUUGUUUACAUCAUGAAAGAUAUCCUUUGCCUAAUCUAUCGCAGACACACUUGACAUAGCUGGAUACUGUCUGAUAGCAUUCUAAAAAGACAUGAAUAGUUACAUAGUUAAAUAUUUACUUUAGUACACAAAACAUUUCACUCUAUCCAAAUAGGAGAAUGCGUCCAUCUUCUUUUAGUAACAAUACAAGAUGAUAAAAAAGUAACAAAACAUCUGACACUUACUAAAGUAAAUGGCAAUUGUGUUAAAAAAUCAUGCUGGCGAGAGAUUGUAAGGAAAUCACUACAGAAACUCAUUUCCAAAGUAAGUCAACAUUUUUAAUAGGUAAAUUAUUCUUCUUUUAUAUAUUUUAAGUGCAAUUUGGUAAGUUUAUAACUUAUAGUAAGACAGUAACAUUCACUGGAACAUAUGUUACAUGAAAUAAAGGAAUAUUUAUUGGGUGUGCCUAUCAUGUGGCAGGCAUUGCGCUAAGGGCUGAGAAGCCAGUAAGAUAUAUUGCAUGCUAGCUAUUGAUAAGUGUUAAGGAGAAAAAGAAAAUAGUGCAGAGAAGGGGAAUACAAUAUUUUGGUUGUGUGGGAGGUUGUUGAAAUUUUAGAUAUAGGGGCUAAAAAGCAUCUCUGAAGUGGUUUUUGAGUAAGGAGCUCAGUUGAGUGUUCCAGCCUAAGGCACAUGCAUGGGAUUCUUCUGGUGAAGAGAGUACCGUAGCUGUAGCCGCAUGAACAAAGGUGGAGGAAUUUGUAGCAGAAGAGGUCUGAGAGGAAACAGAGACCAGAUCAAGUAAGACCAUGAACACCACCCAAAGACUUUGGAUUUUAAUUAGGAUGAACGAGAGGAUUUUGACCAGAUGAAUGACGAAAUGUGAAUUCUGUUUUGGCAGACCACUAUUAUUCUGAGAAUGGAUACAUACUAACCAGGCAAGGACGGAGGCAGCAAGACAAGUUAGGACUCACUGCAACCAUCAGGGAAGAGAUGAUGAUUUCUUCAACAGUGGAUGAGAACAGUGUUAAUGGUGGAGAUAUUAAAAAGUGGCUGAAUAUGAUAUCCACAGUAUUUUGAAAGUAGAGCUGACAAGGCGUGAUGAUUAAUUUCAUGUGGAAUAUAAAAGAUUCAGGGAUGUCAGGAGAUAAGUGUAGAAGUUUGGAGUUCUCAUGGACUGUAAUGGAGAAGAUUGUUAAAGAAGUGGGUUUGGGGAAGGGGCGCCUGGGUGGCUCCAUGGGUUAAGUGUCCCGCUUCAGCUCAAGUCAGGAUGCCAGGCUCUGUGCUGACAGCUCAGAGCCUGGAGCCUGCUUCAGAUGUUGUGUCUCCCUCUCUCUCUGCCCCUCCGCAGUUCAUGCUCUGUCUGUCUCUCUCUCAAAAAUAAAUAAACAUUAAAAAAUAUAAGUGAGUUUGGGGAGAAAAUGUCUGAAACUGACUUGGACAAGUUAAGAUUGAAAUGGCGACUAGACAUUCACGUUGAGUGCUCUAGUAGCACCUGUUUUUACAAAUCUGGAAUUAAUGUGGAAACCUAGAGUUGAGGUAUAAAUUUGGGGGUCACAUAGCAUAUUGAUUCUAUUAAAAUGGUUCAACUGGAUGAGUAUACCCAGUGAGUGAGUGUAGACAGAGAUGAAUAUAUAAUUGUUUACUACAAAAUUAAACGCACUCUCCAUUACCUCCUUUUUGGAUAUUUUCAGAUUCAUAUAUGUAAAGAAAGCUCAAUUGACAAAACUGGACAAUGCAAUAUCAAGAAAAAUAGCAAGAUAUUGACAAAUAAAGAAAAGGAAACCUGGCAGAAUUGCCACAAUUACUCUGGGGAACAAUUUACUGUUAUGUAUUUUUUUUUGAAAAUAUGUAUAGGUUAUGACUUAAAAUUUAUACUUCUGGGUAUGUCAUAAGGACGUGUUAUAAAUGUUAUUUAUCAUAUAGAUGCAAAAAGACAUCUGGAAAGUGCUUUAUUGAAACAUUGUAACUCAACAUCUAUUGGAAGAGAAAUGGAAUAAAUGCCUGAUAGCAUAUUCGAGCAGUAGAAUAUUAUGCAGCUGUCAAAAUGUAUAAAACAGAACUCUAUAUAUCAUAUUUUGAUUGGUCUCAGAUAUAACAUUAAGUCAACAAAACAAAGUGCAGAGAAUUUUGUAUAGUUUUGAAAUAAUUUUGUCUCAAUAAAAAAUAUUAUACAUAUAUGUAGAUAUUUAUGAUAUGUAUAUGAAAUAAACUAUGAAAACAUGA